AUUGAACGCUGGCGGCAGGCCUAACACAUGCAAGUCGAACGGUAACAGGUCUUCGGAUGCUGACGAGUGGCGAACGGGUGAGUAAUACAUCGGAACGUGCCCGAGAGUGGGGGAUAACGAGGCGAAAGCUUUGCUAAUACCGCAUACGAUCUCAGGAUGAAAGCAGGGGACCGCAAGGCCUUGCGCUCACGGAGCGGCCGAUGGCAGAUUAGGUAGUUGGUGGGAUAAAAGCUUACCAAGCCGACGAUCUGUAGCUGGUCUGAGAGGACGACCCGCCAAACUGGGAAUGAGACACGGCCCAGACUCCUACGGGAGUCAGCGGUGGGGAAUUUUGGACAAUGGGCGCAAGCCUGAUCCAGCCAUGCCGCGUGCAGGAUGAAGGCCUUCGGGCUGUAAACUGCUUUUGUACGGAACGAAAAGACUCUGGUUAAUACCUGGGGUCCAUGACGGUACCGUAAGAAUAAGCACCGGCUAACUACGUGCCAGCAGCCGCCGUAACAC
rnacentral:rRNA from 1 species